UACGUAGGGCGCAAGCGUUAUCCGGAAUUAUUGGGCGUAAAGAGCUCGUAGGCGGUUUGUCGCGUCUGCCGUGAAAGUCCGGGGCUCAACUCCGGAUCUGCGGUGGGUACGGGCAGACUAGAGUGAUGUAGGGGAGACUGGAAUUCCUGGUGUAGCGGUGAAAUGCGCAGAUAUCAGGAAGAACACCUAUGGCGAAGGCAGCACUCUGGGACGGUACUGACGCUGAGACGCGAAAGCGUGGGGAGCGAACAGG
rnacentral:rRNA from 1 species